GUGGACGCCAGUCUGCAUGGAGCCGACCUUGAAAUACCACCCUUUAAUGUUUGAUGUUCUAACGUGGACCCGUUACCCGGGUUGCGGACAGUGUCUGGUGGGUAGUUUGACUGGGGCGGUCUCCUCCUAAAGAGUAACGGAGGAGCACGAAGGUUGGCUAAUCCUGGUCGGACAUCAGGAGGUUAGUGCAAUGGCAUAAGCCAGCUUGACUGCGAGCGUGACGGCGCGAGCAGGUGCGAAAGCAGGUCAUAGUGAUCCGGUGGUUCUGAAUGGAAGGGCCAUCGCUCAACGGAUAAAAGGUACUCCGGGGAUAACAGGCUGAUACCGCCCAAGAGUUCAUAUCGACGGCGGUGUUUGGCACCUCGAUGUCGGCUCAUCACAUCCUGGGGCUGAAGUAGGUCCCAAGGGUAUGGCUGUUCGCCAUUUAAAGUGGUACGCGAGCUGGGUUUAGAACGUCGUGAGACAGUUCGGUCCCUAUCUGCCGUGGGCGCUGGAGAACUGAGGGGGGCUGCUCCUAGUACGAGAGGACCGGAGUGGACGCAUCACUGGUGUUCGGGUUGUCAUGCCAAUGGCACUGCCCGGUAGCUAAAUGCGGAAGAGAUAAGUGCUGAAAGCAUCUAAGCACGAAACUUGCCCCGAGAUGAGUUCUCCCUGAGACUUAGAGUCUCCUGAAGGAACGUUGAAGACGACGACGUUGAUAGGCCGGGUGUGUAAGCGCAGCGAUGCGUUGAGCUAACCGGUACUAAUGAACCGUGAGGCUUAACCUU
rnacentral:rRNA from 2 species